rnacentral:lncRNA from 1 species
AAAACAAUAUCCUAUCCUAUAAAUACAGAGACAACAAGUACAAUGCCAAAGGAUAUCUCUCUCUCUUUCUCUUUCUUUUGUUUAAGCAACCAAGAACAAACAAACAAACAAACCUCGUAACUCUUCAUCUUCCUCUUCUGUCCAAAUCAUCAUCACGUUCUUUCUCUGAUUCCACAAUCUUCUUCUUCCACCACCGCUUUUUGUUUUCUCUCUUUUUCUGUUACUUUCCUAACACACAAAGUUUCUCUCUUUCUUUCUGAAAUCUCUGUCUCUGAUUGUCCCUUUUCCCAAAGUUUGUUAAUUUUUUCUUCAAUUGUGUUUAUUCUCUUCUGGGUCAUUCUCUUUUGGUUCUUGAAAUGCCUAAUUGGACCAAACACAAAGGGAACAAUCAAAAUUCUCAGGUGGGUCAGUGGCAAUCCCCACCCUUUAAUGGAAAACCACCUUUGCCAAAACCACCUGUGCCUGUAG